rfam:Fibulorhizoctonia sp. CBS 109695 unplaced genomic scaffold FIBSPscaffold_657, whole genome shotgun sequence.
GGCAAGAUGGCCGAGCGGUCUAAGGCGCCAGACUAAGGAGACCAAGUCAUUGGAUGACUUAUUACAGCUUUGUAGCUAGUACAUCUGGUCCGAAAGGGCGUGGGUUCGAAUCCCACUCUCGUCA